CAAUGUUAGUUCCAUCCAAUGUCUUUGCGCUUCAAAAUCGCCAUACAUAGGAGGUGUAUUAUACCCAGAAUAAGGACCGAUAGAUAUAAGCCAUUGCAUGAAAACUAAACUCAUUAUAAGGCAUGGAAAAAAUAAAAAUUUAGAUGAAUAGGAUCGAAAACGAGAAACGAAUUGUUGAACGGGAGCCCCAUUCUCAAACUCAGAUAGCAUGUUUUAAGCGGCCGUCAAACGGUAAGGAUUUCGCUUUAAAACUUUGGGUUUCUAAAUUAAAAUAUCCAACUUGGAAAGCUUAAAGAUUAAAAAACGAGUGAAUUUGUAUCCGGAAUGUUUUAAACAAGGAAAAGCUAAUUCAAAGCAGAUACAAGUUGGGAUAACAGUGAAAUGGGUUGGGAACCACGAAGUGGACUAUGGGUCCACCAUUGCGAUCAUCGUGAAAUAUGGUUUUAUAAUGUCCAAAAAAAUCAAUUCACUUUUUAAUUCAUUCUUUCUUUCUUAUUUUUUAUUUUCAGUUUCAAAGCCUAAAAAUUAAAUACGCGCAAAGUUAUCACUACAUAAUUGAUCCAAGGGUGAGCAAUAACAUAAAAAAUGAGUUGAUAAACAUGAAAAUUAAGCUGUAUCACUUAUUGACUGAUUUACUUUUCUCUUAAGAUAGGUAAAUGUUAGAAUAAAUUGAGCUUGGCAAGUUAGGAGUUUGUUUCAGUGAUACUAGCCCAUUAAAUUCAAUGAACUGAAAUAUAUUACUUAAUUGUUUGCUGUUUAAUAAUUUAGCUCUAACGAAAAUCUUAUUAGCAAAGAACAUGCUAAGAAAAAUAAUUCCCUUAAUACAUUUACUAUGUAAUUGAUCUCGAAUUUGUAG